rnacentral:rRNA from 1 species
GCAAGUCUGGUGCCAGCAGCCGCGGUAAUUCCAGCUCCAAUAGCGUAUAUUAAAGUUGUUGCAGUUAAAAAGCUCGUAGUUGAACCUCGGGAUCAAUGGAUCGGUCAUGCCAUCGGUAUGUACUGGUCUCAUUGGUUCUCACCUUCUAAGGAACCAUGAUGUCAUUCAGUUGAUGUUGUGGGGAAUUAGGACUGUUACCUUGAAAAAAUUAGAGUGUUUAAAGCAGGCUAACGCUUGAAUACAUUAGCAUGGAAUAAUGAAAUAGGACAUCGCAUUCUAUUUUGUUGGUUUCUAGGAUCGAUGUAAUGAUUAAUAGGGAUAGUUGGGGGCAUUAGUAUUCAAUUGUCAGAGGUGAAAUCCUUGGAUUUAUUGAAGACUAACUACUGCGAAAGCAUUUGCCAAGGAUGUUUUCAUUAAUCAAGAACGAAAGUUAGGGGAUCGAAGACGAUCAGAUACCGUCGUAGUCUUAACCAUAAACUAUGCCGACUAGGGAUCGGAUGAUGUUGAUUUUUUAAUGACUCAUUCGGCGCCUUACGGGAAAC